rnacentral:ncRNA from 1 species
UUUCCCUCAGGAUAGUUGAAGUAUGAAGCACUAUAUUCGGUAAAGCGAAUGAUUAAAGGAAUUGUGGGACGAAACGUCUUUACCCUAUUCUCAAACUUCAAUGAGUAUGAUGUUUUGCUUGUUUAAAUGAAGCAUUGACAUUGAAUGUGUGCUCUAAAUAGGUCAUUUUUGGUAAGCAGAACUGAUGCUGUGGCAUAAACCA